rnacentral:rRNA from 1 species
AUUGAACGCUGGCGGCAUGCCUUACACAUGCAAGUCGAACGGCAGCAUGGAGAGCUUGCUCUCUGAUGGCGAGUGGCGAACGGGUGAGUAAUGCAUCGGAACGUACCGUGUAAUGGGGGAUAACGUAGCGAAAGUUACGCUAAUACCGCAUACGAACUGAGGGUGAAAGCAGGGGAUCGCAAGACCUUGCGUUAUACGAGCGGCCGAUGUCAGAUUAGCUAGUUGGUGAGGUAAAAGCUCACCAAGGCGACGAUCUGUAGCGGGUCUGAGAGGAUGUACGGCUACACUGGGACGGAGACACGGCCCAGACUCCUACGGGAGGCAGCAGUGGGGAAUUUUGGACAAUGGGGGCAACCCUGAUCCAGCCAUGCCGCGUGAGUGAAGAAGGCCUUCGGGUUGUAAAGCUCUUUCGGCCGGGAAGAAAUCGCACAGGCUAAUACUCUGUGUGGAUGACGGUACCGGCAUAAGAAGCACCGGCUAACUACGUGCCAGCAGCCGCCGUAA